rnacentral:rRNA from 1 species
GGCGCCCGCCGGAGGGACCACAAACUCUUGUAUCUGGAUGCAUUGCUCUGAGUAAACAAGCAAAAUGAAUCAAAACUUUCAACAACGGAUCUCUUGGUUCUGGCAUCGAUGAAGAACGCAGCGAAAUGCGAUAAGUAAUGUGAAUUGCAGAAUUCAGUGAAUCAUCGAAUCUUUGAACGCACAUUGCGCCCGCCAGUAUUCUGGCGGGCAUGCCUGUUCGAGCGUCAUUUCAACCCUCGGGCCCCCCCUUCGGGGACGGGCGCGGUGUUGGGGGUCCGGCCUUGGCCGCCCCCGAAAUGCAGUGGCGACCCCGCCGCGGCCUCUCCUGCGCAGUAAGCAAACGCUCGCAACGAGGGACCCGGAGGACGAGUCCGCCGUAAAACG